rnacentral:rRNA from 1 species
GAAAUCCGUUGAUAUCAAGUGGAACACCAAAAGCGAAGGCAAUAAACUAGGACAGUCCUGACGCUGAAAGACGAAAGCAUGGGGAGAGAAAAGGAUUAGAUACCCUUGUAUUCCAUGCCCUAAACGAUGAACACUAGCUAUUGUAAGUGUCGACCCUUGCAGUGGCGAAGCUAACGCGUUAAGUGUUCCGCCUGGGAAGUACGGCCGCAAGGCUAAAACUCAAAGGAAUAGACGGGGACCUACACAAGCGGUGGAUCACGUGGCUUAAUUCGACAAUAAGCGAGGAACCUUACCAGGGCUUGACAAGGUAGUGAAAGCUAUAAGAAAUUAUAGCCCACCCACAAGGACACUACCCCAGGUGCUGCAUGGUUGUCGUCAGCAGGUGGCUUGAGUUGCUCCCUUAAAUGGGGUAACCUGCGCAACCCUUGCUCUAUGUUUUAUAUGUCAUAGAGGACUGCCCGGGACAACCGGGAGGAAGGUGAGGAUGACGCCAAAUCAGCAUGGCCUUUUGAUGCCCUGGGCUGCACACGUGAUACAAUGGAACUGACAAAGGGUCGCCAAGCCGUAAGGCGGAGCCAAUCCCAUCAAACAGUUCCCCAAUUCGGAUUGAGGUCUGAAACCCGACCUCAUGAAGCCGGAAUCGCUAUUAACCGCA